UACGUAGGGUGCAAGCGUUGCCCGGAUUUAUUGGGCGUAAAGGGCGCGUAGGCGGUCAGCACAAGUCAGUUGUGAAAUCUCCGAGCUUAACUCGGAAAGGUCAACUGAUACUGUGCGACUAGAGUGCAGAAGGGGCAACUGGAAUUCUCGGUGUAGCGGUGAAAUGCGUAGAUAUCGAGAGGAACACCUGCGGCGAAGGCGGGUUGCUGGGCUGACACUGACGCUGAGGCGCGAAAGCUAGGGGAGCAAACGGG
rnacentral:rRNA from 1 species